AUUCCCAAACUUUACUACACCCCAGAUUAUUCUCUCAUAGUUUCUGUAUGCGGUGAUGCACGGGAGAGUUGUACUCUCAAAUACGUGAUGUGCAGUACCUUUACUUUCAUUUCCUCUAGACCCACAGUUGCUACAGUGCUGGUGUGCUGCUUGUUCUUUUUUUCCUCUUUUUGGGGCCUCAGCAGGCGUUGAAGACGGUGCUUGAUCAUCUGAUUUCACCCGUUGCACAGCAGCAGCAGGGAGGUAAAAAAGCAAGGCAUGUGCACCAUCCUGCAGCUGCACACUCGCAGCACCUCGUUGGUUUCACACAGCAAACGACAGGCACUGAUGCUGUAUGUGUCGUAUCCUGGGAACUUUUCUUUGCUGGUGGAGCGGCAGUUCCCCCAGGGCUGGGGCAGGUCUGGAAGCCCGGAGAGACACCAAAGCCCAGCUGGUGGAUGUAGGGAGGCUCGUCCUGACUGUGUAUCUGAACUCGGAUACCUGCCUCCAGGGAAGUCUCAUCUUCAAGAUGAAACAGCACGAGCAAAGAGCGUUGCAAAAGGGGAGGACAAGAGAAUUUCAAAUGGCUGCCUCAUUUCACAGCUUGGACUCAGCUUGACACUACAAACCAUAUUUCAAUUGUGUUUCAGAUAAUAAACCAGUGGGGAU